rnacentral:pre_miRNA from 1 species
UUUAAGUGUAGUUAUAAAUUUUCAUGUUUAAUAUUUGAUUAUCCGUUCUUUUUUUAAAAAAUAUGAUUAGUAUUUUUAUUAUUAAUAGAUAAUAAAACAUGAAUAGUAUUCUAUGCAUGACUUAUUUUCUUAAAGAAAUUUCAUAAUUUUUUCAAAUAAGACGGGUUGUCAAAUAUUGGAUACGGAAAACUUACAAUUACACUCAAA